GUAUUUCAUUGCGUUAAACGCGACAUGCAUUCCAUGAGACUUUGUUGUAGUGUGUGUGUAAAGACGCAGAACCACAGCAGGGGGACGGAGCCCACCCAGGCCAUAGAACUACAGAGGGUGCACAGGUGUGAAUGGACGUGUAAACAGAGCGUGCACGUGCCCCCAUACAGGGACCAGCAACAACUCUUGUUGACGAUUCGGUAAUGAUCCUUCCGCAGGUUCACCUACGGAAA
rnacentral:misc_RNA from 1 species